GCUUCCGUGGUUUAGUCGGAAAAACUCCCAACUAUAGAUAUGGUAGGAAUCGGGUACGAAUCCCGAUGAAAACA